GGAUGAGCCCGCGGCCUAUCAGCUUGUUGGUGGGGUGAUGGCCUACCAAGGCGACGACGGGUAGCCGGCCUGAGAGGGUGACCGGCCACACUGGGACUGAGAUACGGCCCAGACUCCUACGGGAGGCAGCAGUGGGGAAUAUUGCACAAUGGGCGCAAGCCUGAUGCAGCGACGCCGCGUGAGGGAUGACGGCCUUCGGGUUGUAAACCUCUUUCAGCAGGGACGAAGCGCAAGUGACGGUACCUGUAGAAGAAGGACCGGCCAACUACGUGCCAGCAGCCGCGGUAAUACGUAGGGUCCGAGCGUUGUCCGGAAUUACUGGGCGUAAAGAGCUCGUAGGUGGUUUGUCGCGUUGUUCGUGAAAACUCACAGCUUAACUGUGGGCGUGCGGGCGAUACGGGCAGACUGGAGUACUGCAGGGGAGACUGGAAUUCCUGGUGUAGCGGUGGAAUGCGCAGAUAUCAGGAAGGAACACCGGGUGGCGAAAGGCGGGUCUCUGGGCAGUAAACUGACGCUGAGGAGCAAAAAGCGUGGGGAGCGAACAGGAUUAGAUACCCUGGUAGUCCACGCCGUAAACGGUGGGUACUAGGUGUGGGUUUCCUUCCUGGGAUCCCGUGCCGUAGCUAACGCAUUAAGUACCCCGCCUGGGGAGUACGGCCGCAAGGCUAAAACUCAAAGGAAUUGACGGGGGCCCGCACAAGCGGCGGAGCAUGUGGAUUAAUUCGAUGCAACGCGAAGAACCUUACCUGGGUUUGACAUGCACAGGACGCCGGCAGAGAUGUCGGUUCCCUUGUGGCCUGUGUGCAGGUGGUGCAUGGCUGUCGUCAGCUCGUGUCGUGAGAUGUUGGGUUAAGUCCCGCAACGAGCGCAACCCUUGUCUCAUGUUGCCAGCACGUUAUGGUGGGGACUCGUGAGAGACUGCCGGGGUCAACUCGGAGGAAGGUGGGGAUGACGUCAAGUCAUCAUGCCCCUUAUGUCCAGGGCUUCACACAUGCUACAAUGGCCGGUACAAAGGGCUGCGAUGCCGUGAGGUGGAGCGAAUCCUUUCAAAGCCGGUCUCAGUUCGGAUCGGGGUCUGCAACUCGACCCCGUGAAGUCGGAGUCGCUAGUAAUCGCAGAUCAGCAACGCUGCGGUGAAUACGUUCCCGGGCCUUGUACACACCGCCCGUCACGUCAUGAAAGUCGGUAACACCCGAAGCCGGUGGCCUAACCCCUUGUGGGAGGGAGCCGUCGAAGGUGGGGCUGG
rnacentral:rRNA from 1 species